GGACAAAGGGAGGGACUUCAUACCGUGCCAUGCAGAAAAACUACACACAUCCACCUACUUCCUCAGAAGCUUUUCUUGUCACAUAUGACAGCUACCUCCCCCUAUUCUUUCUCUCUUCCAGUGUGGGUCUUCCUCUUUCUUCACUUCUCUCAUCUUAUGUUCAUUUUUUUCUUUCAAUGGCUCCUUGCCCUUCCUAAUAGAAUCCAACACAGUCUUUCUAAGGUUUUGUAUUCGUUCUUUACCUGGUUUUGGGACACAAAUUCAUUCCUGAAGGAUUGGAAUCCUUAGUGAGUUUGCCUUUGUUGUUGAUGUAGUAGUUUUCCAUGAACUUCCAUAAUUGGACAUGGAAGGACUAAGAGUUGUCCCGAAGAAUUUCCCAAUCCCCUGAUAUAGUCCUUCCUACCUCCUUUGUAACCUGAGUUCAUCAUACAAAUUGGGAUCAAUCACCCCAGCCAGUAGAGUAACCUCUUUUUUUGUCUGUUGAUUCAGUGGUGCCAGGAGCCUAAAAUAGUGAGGUGGCAGUCUCGCUUUCCAGUUCAGUGGAACCAUUGUUGUUCCUCUGGUGGAAGAAUAUCUUGCUUAGGAACCAAAAUUUCCAAAUCAGCAGUGCUCAAAGUUACAAGAACAGGAAUAAAAAAUUCUGUGAACGGCAGGUUAGAAGUGAUACUGAGAGGAAUCACUCCAUCUUCAAUUCCUUGAUUCCCAGCUCCGUGUAUUCUAGCUAUGGGAGAAAUGGCAACAUUAAGUGCCUCUGAUACAAAUCAUACACUGUAUCCUGUAAAAUGGAACCUCAUCUCCUUCAUGGUGGUGUCUUCCAACUGAUAGCAUUGCUGAGUCUUCAGUAUGCUGUUCCAUCUUUAUAUCAAGCCAAUGCUUCAGGGUGGUGAGGGAAUGUGGCAAAAUCAAUUAAUCCAAUAGUUAUGAGUUCAUUGCUAUCUUCUUUGGCCAUGAAAUGAGUUUCUUUUUCUGUAGAAAUGCUGUGUGGAAUAUCAGAAAUGAAAAAAAACCUCCUGUACGUCCAUGAAUGGCAGUUCUGGAAAAAACAUGUUGUGCAGCAAAGAAAAUCCAUGUCCUAAAUAUAUGUAUAUUCCAGUGAGGACAAAUCUGUAGCCAUGUGGAAGGGAGUCCAAUGUCAUGAGUCUGUUGCCAGGUAGCUAGAUAAUCC
rnacentral:lncRNA from 1 species